rnacentral:tRNA from 1 species
GGACGAUUAGCUCAGUGGUUAGAGCACUCGGUUUACAUCCGAGGUGUCGCAGGUUCGAAUCCUGCAUCGUCCA